rnacentral:rRNA from 1 species
AGUGAACGCUGGCGGUAGGCCUAACACAUGCAAGUCGAACGGCAGCACAGUAAGAGCUUGCUCUUACGGGUGGCGAGUGGCGGACGGGUGAGGAAUACAUCGGAAUCUACUUUUUCGUGGGGGAUAACGUAGGGAAACUUACGCUAAUACCGCAUACGACCUACGGGUGAAGGCAGGGGAUCUUCGGACCUUGCGCGAUUGAAUGAGCCGAUGUCGGAUUAGCUAGUUGGCGGGGUAAAGGCCCACCAAGGCGACGAUCCGUAGCUGGUCUGAGAGGAUGAUCAGCCACACUGGAACUGAGACACGGUCCAUACUCCUACGGGAGGCAGCAGUGGGGAAUAUUGGACAAUGGGCGCAAGCCUGAUCCAGCCAUACCGCGUGGGUGAAGAAGGCCUUCGGGUUGUAAAGCCCUUUUGUUGGGAAAGAAAAGCAGCAGGUUAAUACCCCGCUGUUCUGACGGUACCCAAAGAAUAAGCACCGGCUAACUUCGUG